GACGAACGCUCGCGGCGUGCCUAAUACAUGCAAGUCGAACGCAGUGGGGACGGGUGAGUAACCCGUGGGUAAACUCCCAUCAGAGGGGAUAACACUUGGAAACAGGUGCUAAACCGAUACUGAUGGAUGGACCCCCGGUGCAGUAGCUAGUUGUUGAGGUAACGGCUCAACAAGGCCACGAUCCCUAGACGACCGUAUGGUGUGAUCGGCCACACUGGGACUGAGACACGGCCCAGCCGCCUACGGGAGGCAGCAGUAGGGAUGCGGCGGUGAUUGACGAAAGUCUGACCGAGCCACGCCGCGUGAGUGAAGAAGGUUUUCGGAUCGUAAAAAUCUGUGGUUAGAGAAGCGGUAUCUAACCAGAAAGCCACGGCUAACUACGUGACAGCAGCCGCGGUAAUAC
rnacentral:rRNA from 1 species